AUUGAACGCUGGCGGCAUGCCUUACACAUGCAAGUCGAACGGUAACAGGUCUUCGGAUGCUGACGAGUGGCGAACGGGUGAGUAAUACAUCGGAACGUGCCUAGUAGUGGGGGAUAACUACUCGAAAGAGUGGCUAAUACCGCAUGAGAUCUACGGAUGAAAGCAGGGGAUCGCAAGACCUUGUGCCACUAGAGCGGCCGAUGGCAGAUUAGGUAGUUGGUGGGAUAAAAGCUUACCAAGCCGACGAUCUGUAGCUGGUCUGAGAGGACGAUCAGCCACACUGGGACUGGGCCACGGCCCAGACUCCUACGGGAGGCAGCAGUGGGGAAUUUUGGACAAUGGGCGAAAGCCUGAUCCAGCAAUGCCGCGUGCAGGAUGAAGGCCUUCGGGUUGUAAACUGCUUUUGUACGGAACGAAAAGCCCUGGGUUAAUACCCUGGGGUCAUGACGGUACCGUAAGAAUAAGCACCGGCUAACUACGUGCCAGCAGCCGCCGUAA
rnacentral:rRNA from 1 species